rnacentral:rRNA from 1 species
UACGAAGGGUGCAAACGUUGCUCGGAAUUAUUGGGCGUAAAGCGCACGUAGGCGGCUUAGCAAGUCGGAUGUGAAAUCCCUCGGCUCAACCAAGGAAGUGCAUCCGAAACUGCUGAGCUUGAGUACUGGAGAGGAGACUGGAAUUCAUGGUGUAGCAGUGAAAUGCGUAGAGAUCAUGAGGAAGACCAGUGGCGAAGGCGGGUCUCUGGACAGUUCCUGACACUGAGGCACGAAGGCCAGGGGAGCAAACGGG